GACAGAGGUCCCGAGCGUUAGGCGGAAUCACUGGGCUUAAAGCGUGUGUAGGCGGAUUGGUAAGUACCUUGUGAAAUCCCACGGCUCAACCGUGGAACUGCUUGGUAUACUGCUUAUCUUGGGCCACUUAGGGGUUACCGGAACAAACGGUGGAGCGGUGAAAUGCGUAGAUAUCGUGUGGAACGCCAAUGGUGAAAACAGGUAACUGGGAGUGUGCCGACGCUGAGACACGAAAGCCAGGGGAGCGAACGGG
rnacentral:rRNA from 1 species